AGGAGGACACACGUGCUGCCGCUCUCUCCGGGUGUCUGCUUGCACUGCUUGUUUACCUGCCGAGCGCCUGUGUUCGUGCCUCUCCGUGUGCCUUAUAGCCCGUACUGUGCCUGGUGGACUAGUCACUAGUGCAACGUGGUUGGAGCCUGAUGUGAUGGGCCUCUGCUUGCUGGCGAUAGGAAUUUGUGUACGGUAGACGAGAUCACAACAUAACAGCAGAAAUGAAGCUGGACGGGAAGUUGCAAUUUUGACAGAACGGACCAAGGACGUGAGAGUGAGACGCCGCGGCUGUCCUUCGCUCCGGGUGAGUCUACAGUGCCAUAAGUUAUCCAUUUCCUGCACCGUUUCCACAGCAGCACUCUAAGUUCAUAUAAAUGCACUAUGUUCGUUGUAGUCUACAGUGUCUCUACGCGCCUCCCAACUACCCUCGUUGUGUUAUUUGACCCACUUAUGAGAGCAGAGGCUCCAAUCAUUACGGAAGCAAAUGGGACUCGAUCAUAAAAGUAUACAAUCAUUAUUUAGCACGAAUAUUUGUCAUUUUCCAUUUUCUCCUGUGAAUAUAUU